CUUUUCCGUCUGCCCAUGCCUGCGCCGCGCAGUGCAGGCGUACAAUCCUGAGCAGCUUACGACACUCAGUGAACACUAGGUGCCUCUGCAUGCUCUCGCAACACACUGCUCAGCUGAAGGGAAGGGAUAUCUCGCUGUCUCUCUCUCUCUCGGCUCUAAGCAUCACCUAACGAGCAAAGCGAACAAAGAAUGGGAAAUAAAGCUACCCUUAGCCGGUCAGUGAAUGAAGGGCAAUCUCUCUCUAUGGAGUAAAAGGUUGUGCCGGUCAGUGGUCGUCGCAAACGAUGGACCUUGAGCAGAUUGCCAAAGCCGGCGGAGUCGUUAGGGAAGAGUUUGGAGUUUUUUUCGCGGCACAGUGGUAACCGCAGAGAAAAAGGACAGAGGGAGAAGGAGAAGAUCGAGCUCAUGCACAUAGUUCUGAAACUUGCAGGUCCUAGAAGUCAGCUAAAAAGCUAGCUGGACAACCCUCUAGCUCUCUGAGCAGAAGCAAAGUAAGACAUUGUGAGCGUGCCAGCCUUGCACACCACUGAAAGGGACUGCAUUUGUAGCACAGAGGGGUCUUUUUUAGCUCCGCAUAUAAUUAGUCCAAACACAAAGGAAGCAACUGAAUGGAGGUUGUCACUCUCUGGAAAAGGCAAAAGGACAUGCUGAAUAACCCUCCCCCUUCCCCCAGCAUCUCCAAUGGUAUUCAGAACGGCAAAGGAGAAGGAAUAUUUAACCAGGAAGCUUAUUGCUAGUGCUUUAAAAAUAAUACUAAUAAUAAAGGAAACAAAGAGAAGGAGACAAAAGAGAGAGAAGACUGGAGUAACGAUGACUAAACCAGGUUGUUGCUAGUUUCCCUCGCCUUUCCUUUUUUAAAGAUGGUUACAUCUAAGGGACUAGCAGAGAUGCAAAACCCAAGGCUGAUGUGGGUGGAGAAAGCAGCCUUAAACACUGUGUAAGUGGAGAUGAAACAGCUUCUGGAAAGGAGGGCAACACCACAAAACAGGCUUAUUGAAGGAGAAAGACUACUGGAAAGCGUGAGGGCACGUGAUGAAAGGAAAGGCAAGACUAGGAGAGGAGCAGAGGUGGGUCCUACGCACGCGAGGGAGAUGAGAUUUUGGUGUCUUCACCUCCCAUGUUGAAACUGUAGCAAGAACAACAACGGAGAUUUAAGAAGGAUACCCAGCAUCUCCUUCUCUCUGUGUCUUCUCAAAGACAGACUUUUAUACCCCAAAUAUCUCACUUUCCCAUCCUUUAAGAAACCUUCAUGGAGAGAGAGGGGUGAUCCUGAGAUCAGCAGAUUCCCACGCUCACCCUCAGACUCAGCUUCGGUAUCCACAGCUACGAUGACAAGCAUACACGGGGUAUCUGCACCCAAUUUAUUAUUACACAUCAAGCAGAGAAACAUGGUGAAAGUAAAGGAGUAGGUGCAGCAUACCUCCGAAGUUAUCCAGAAGAAAGCAAGGCUACAAAAAUAUUAUGGAAACCAAGCAACAAUCUAGCUUGCGCUGCCAAGACACAGCCUGUAAUUGGGUGGGUGGCUGUGCAGAUCCUAGAUGAAUGCUGCAGCGCCCGGUAAUUUUAUUGCAGUAUGUCUGCUUUAAAGCGAGCAUAUUUGCAAUGAAAUCGGUAUUUCUGUGUGAACCAGGCAAUUGUUUUUAUGGGAAAGAAAACGUCACUGGUUGGCAUUCAGAAACAAUUAUUCAGCCUUUAAACCAAUUACUGGCCUCACUCGCCCGGGCUAGACAUUCAGAAAUGAAUUCUGAGUUCGACGCACCCAUAUUUGCAUUGCAAGAGAAGAAAUCUAGUUUAAAAUAAAAAUCAGACACUAGCAUGCACCUUUUCUUUCAGUUCUCUUCCCGAAAAUUCAAAUAUGUACAUGCCUUGCAGAAAUUAGAGAUAAUUGGCAGAUAAUUUGCUUGGCAAAUGGCACGUGCUAGUCUGCUAAGGCACUUUUAUUUCAAACCAUCUCUCUUCUCCCAUUUUUUCACCUCCUCCCCAGACACAGUAACUACUGCCCACAGAGAUGUCUUUUCACGUGGACAAUAUGGAAGUAUGACCAAUAUGGUUCCAUUUCUGAGCUAACAAAAACUAAACCCAAGAUUUCAAAGGUAACUAGUAUGUAUAUAAAAAUCUCCUUGAUCACUGAAUUACCAUUUUUAAUGCAGUAGAUUUACCUGGCUGAUACCACUAGAAACUAAGCAUGGUCCUUCAUCGAUUACAAACUUUGCUCUAGCCUUUUGAAAGAUAUGUGCCUUUCUCCUAGUAGGAAAUUACAGUAGGAUAGAGUAGUAGGAGAGGACUUAAAAUGGUAUUUUCAGCCAAAUCUGAGAUAAAAAGUAUGUAUGGAUAUACCAAACUGAUUAAAAGGGCUUAGCUAAUUAAGGGGAUGCAGCCUACCUAUAAUAAACCUCAGUGAAGCAGGACGCUUCUCUACUCUAGUGGUUACUAAAAGGUAUAAACAAACAGCUUCCUAAUAGCCGGGGACUCAAACUGGAGUUUGAUUCAGGACUCUGAAUAUAUAAACAUAUAAAAUGCAGAUUUUCCCUCUAGCUUUUUAUUCCUUCUUACCCAUUCUCCCAUUUUGCAUUCCCAGAACUUUGCAGGCAGAGUGAACCAAAAGCAGGGAACCCCCUCUCCCCACCCCACAAAUGCAAAACUCAACUGCCAACCCAGCCCGCAGCUAUUGAAUUCCAGCGGUUUUUAUUCUUUUAACAACUGCCAGCACUUUGAAGCGCUUCCGCUCUCGACCCUGUUUGCAAGACUAGAGCUAAAGCGAGCUCCCCAGAGUAAACCCGACGCUGGCUCCGUAGUUUGGUGCUCCUACCGACGGUUUGUCUUGCUAAGAGAGACUAGUAAAGGUUACAGGAUGUUAAUAAUAAUGAGAUAAACCACCUAGGGAUGUUUCCCCUCCAUUUUUAAACUUGGCUCACUCCAAAAGUUUAUCUUGAUGGAAAACGUACUUCUCUGAUCCUGAUUAUUUCCCAAAGCAAUUUUCCAACAGCAAACAGAAAUUUGUGGCAGCUGCUAAAAGGGUUUCUAUCCCUGCGCUAAAGAGGACACUGGAUGUCAAAUGUUUACCUUAAUUUCAUGUAAAUGUCACUCUGUAUUGGACAUUCUGUAUUUUUUUUAAUCUGCAGCUGCUUCCAUCCUCGCAACCCUUAGCAGAGAGCUACAAGUACCUUUACCAACCACACAGCGGCCGAUCCUAUUGGCAGUUCAAAUACCUCCCCACAAACUGGAUGCAAUUAAUUUGCUAUGUAAUUGCUGCAGUUUUAACAAAGUGAGCGCGUAUCGUAUGGCCUGAAACACCAAGAAAUAAUGCAGACGAUAAAUAAGUAGAAGAAAUGUAUCCGAAACACCUUCUGCAAGGGGGGGGAAACCCACAAUACAAAAUACACUGGUUAUGACAAUGCUCGAGCUUGUAAAAGGUAGAGGGCCCUGAGCAUCAACUGCAAACAGGUGAAUUACACAGGACAGAGCAAAAAAAGGAGAUGAUCUGCAAAGUAGGAGGCCCACAAAAUGAGUUUAUAGAAUCGUGUGUUUGCAAUGGGGAAAAGAGCGAUCCACGAAGUCCAGCAAAGACAAACCCUGAGCCUAUUCCUCUCUCCGUCUCUGCCUUGUCAUGGUGGGAUUUGGGGGCAUAUUUUUUAAAUCUAAACUAUUUUACUUCUAUCUGCUACACACACAUAGCACUGCAUCCCUGCAGUUUGUGCUUUUUGUUUUAUGUUAAAUGCGCUGCCAAUGGGUGUUUUUGUGAAGGGCGGCACUUCCAGCCUCUAGUGAACCCUUACUGUAUUCCUCCUGUACAUGUACUUCCCUGAUUACAGCAACUGUUAGGUCUUACAUCCUUCUUGUUGGUGGAAGGAAGAUCUUCCACCUCAGUUCCUCUUCAUACAGUGAGUUAUAUUCUAUAUCUUUCUAAAAAAUGGAGUUGAAAACUCUUGUUUUUUCUCUCCGGUUAUGUUUUCCUCUUAUGUAGAAUAACAUAGCCCAAAUCUGUCAUUUUUCAUUAGCAACAAAGGACUCAAGCUAUGGCUGUUAAUGACAACUCUUAAUGAGGUUUUUGAUGAGUGAGUCCUGAAAAAUCAAACCUGAGAUAAACACUAAAAUCCACCUCAAGCCCAUUGUUUCCAAGUAGUAGAGAUACUAACAAAUGGGGUAUAAAAGUGAGGAUGUUUAAAGCAAACCAGUGCAUUUAAAACAACAAAUCGCUUAAGCGAGCGAGGCUUAAGCAAGGCUUAAGCGGUGCGCAUUGAGCAAUUUUAAAAGGUGCAAAAACAAAGAGGUGCAGCUGGUAAAACAUGCAGAUUUGUAGUAAAAGUAGCUGUUGCACCAAAAGAUGGAUAACUAAAGCAUGCUGAAGUUCCCCCUGUUUAGAGUUGGUUAGGGAUGAUUAUAACAAACAGACUCACGCAGAAUGACAAAUAACUAACUAGUAAAUCUUAUCUCAGUGGCUGCUAAGGUAGUAUCAAGACUAACUAAGGUCUGUGACGUGGUAUAAUAAGGAUAAAUUGACCUAAAUUCCUGAACUUUGGACUACUGUUACCUGCUGCAGGCCUCAUGGACUCAAAGCAUUUUGGCUAACACCCAAUGUUUGACUGGAAACUCUCUACACGUGAUUGGAUUGUUAUAUUGCUUAAUGUGGGGUCUGAGGAAUGCCCGACAGACUGAAAAAAUCAUAAUUUAGGGACUACCAUAAUGCAAAAGCUGGAAAAUCUUAUCAAAGUGGUCUAAUUAAAAAAAAAGACAAUUUUAUAUUUGGGCUUCUGACAAAACGCCACUAAAAGAGAUUCAGAUAGUAAGACAAAAAAGAUACGCUCUGUGAUUGUGGAAAACCAGCUAUGUGACCGAAAGCACAGUGGCCCUUUUACAGCAAAAAAAUCGAGAGCAGUCUGUCUGCUCCCAAGGCCGGUCUUGCUGAAUCAUCCUAGCGACGAUCAGGAAACGUGUGGCCACGUUUUUCCAAUGACAGAUUAUUUAUGUUGCAGAAAGUAAUGAAAAUCAGGCGGAUGUGCAAAGGGACUUCCAAAGGCUGAAGAUUACAUAAACUUUGAUGGAUGAAAUUCAAAGCUGUCAAAUCCUAAGGAGAAAAAAAAAAAAAAAAACAAGUAGAAGGAAAAUUGUUCAUCCAUACCUUUGAGGUGUAAAUUAUAGGCACUAACGGAACAAUUACCGUUCUGGAUAGUUCACUGAAAAACUCUGCUUGGUAUGUGAAAGCAAAAAAAAAAGGGGGGGGAGAAAAAGAAAAAUGAAAUAACGUUUAAAAUGUGUAUGGAAGUGAAUAAGCACUUAAACUAAAUAGCCUGCUAUAAAUCGCUACUACUCCAUCAGCUAGAAAACCGUCCCCAGGUCUCUUAAAGCGAAAGUUAGGAAAGGAUAUAACUCCUAGACAAUGUUAAGCUACUGGAAAGUAAAAGGAUGAAAGAUAUGAAAAAGUUCAUACGUAAUAAGAGAUACGAAGAAACUGGACCUACAGCUGCAGCACAAGAGCAAAACGUGUAUCCAUUCCCCCUCUAGCGGCCAGUCCACAUAGGGCUAUCAUGAAAAAAAACAUCAUAAAAGUGAAUGGCAAUAUGCUGGCAAUUGGUCUGAAAACAAGCACCCUCCUCCCCGCUCUUUGAACCCCCACACUGUGCGUAUCUGAGCAUCCUUUUCACGCUGUUUCCCAUCGCGUUAUUGUUACAUCCUAUUUCCUCAUUAAACCGUCUCGUGUACUCCUUCGUUGUCUCCUGUUCUGUUAUGCAGAGAAUAAGCUGUUUUAUAGUAAUCUUUUUGCAAUCUGCUAGCACACACCUGCAAGGGGAGGAUCUGGAACAGGGGCCCAUAUACA